rnacentral:rRNA from 1 species
GAGCGCAACCCUUGAUCUUAGUUGCCAGCAUUUAGUUGGGCACUCUAAGGUGACUGCCGGUGACAAACCGGAGGAAGGUGGGGAUGACGUCAAAUCAUCAUGCCCCUUAUGACCUGGGCUACACACGUGCUACAAUGGACAGAACAAAGGGCUGCGAGACCGCAAGGUUUAGCCAAUCCCAUAAAUCUGUUCUCAGUUCGGAUCGCAGUCUGCAACUCGACUGCGUGAAGCUGGAAUCGCUAGUAAUCGCGGAUCAGCAUGCCGCGGUGAAUACGUUCCCGGGCCUUGUACACACCGCCCGUCACACCACGAGAGUUUGCAACACCCGAAGUCGGUGAGGUAACCUUUAUGGAGCCAGCCGCCGAAGGUGGGGCAGAUGAUUGGGGGAAGUCGUAACAAG